GUUGGGUGUGGCCGUGCAUGCCUGUGGUCCCAGCUACGUGGGAGGCUGAGGCAGGAGGAUCACUUGAAUCCAGGAGGUUGAGGCUGCAGUGAGCCAUGUUGGCGCCACUGCACUCCAGCCUGGGCAACAGAGUGAGACCCUGUCUCAA
rnacentral:SRP_RNA from 1 species